rnacentral:lncRNA from 1 species
UCCAGCUGUUCUAACACCUCCUGCCUGCCAGUACUGACUCUUUAUGCAUGGGGGCUUCCGGCUUAUCUAUACUUCGAAGACAGUGAACUAGGUUAACCAGAUAUAGGACUCCUCUGUCUUGCUACGAUGGACAGCCACAAGGAUUCACUUGAAUAAAAGAAGCAACAGUGGGUGCCAGGCUGUUUGAAUUCUUAUUCGGGGUCCAGAGAGAUGGGUAAGAGCAUUUGUUGCUCUUGCAGCGGACCUGGGUUUGGUGUCUAACAUCCAUGUGGUGGCUCACAUCCAUCAGUAACUCCAUUCGAGGAGAUCCAAUACCCUCUACUGCCCUCCUCUAGUACCACACAGAGUUUGAUUUUGAUUUUGAUUUCUGGCAGUGCUGUGGAUUGAAUGGCGGGCCUUGCACAGAAAUGUGCUGUUUUGUUAUACAUUUAUUACAAAGAAUCUCACAAAAAGAAAAUAUUUCAAAAAGAAUGCCAGGCUAAAGAACCUCCACCUGGAGAACUGGGGGAAGGCAGGGCAAUAAUAUCAACGUCAACAUACAGCACCCUCUGGCCAUACUUUAGCAGUUCCAGGAUGGCCAAGACGACAUCGUUGAUGUAACAGAAACCUGAGGCGUCAGACUUCUUUACAUGAUGCAGUCCCCCAGCCUGGCUCGCAGUGAUGUCCCUCUGAUGUGUAUCAAGUUUCACAGCACUUUCCAAAGAGCCACCAAUAGACAACUGACAACUCAGACAGGCCAUCGAUUACCGGGAAGUCCUCACCAACGCGGAAUCUCUGCAUCUGCUUGCUGUAUUUAGACACAUUAUCUGGGCGAAUAGAGCACAAGAGUUUAAUGUAGUCAUCACUGUGGGACUUGGUCAUCUCCUCAGCGUUGGCUCUGUGAGGACGAUAGAUUUCCAUUUUUUGGUAGAGAUGUAGUUGAGCUGCAAAUCACGAGUCAUGUGGAUUCGGUGAGGCUUCAUUGGGUGGCCCUGUCCAUAAGAUAGUUUCCAACAUCCCUGUUAACAGACGUUCCUCUUGCCCUGAGUCUGUGCCAUCUUUCUCACCACCCAGUGCUCCUGCCAGUCUGAUGUUUUAAUAUUUUUAGAUGGUGAUGCUUUGAGUUUAAAUGGCCUUUGACAAAUUCUAUCCUAAUUUCUAAUUAAGACAAGGAAAGAAAACAAAGAUGGAUAAGGACCAUAAAGUAAUGAAUGGACUGGAAACAGAAGUAAACUUAUUCAACAAUAAAA